AUUGAACGCUGGCGGCAUGCCUUACACAUGCAAGUCGAACGGCAGCACGGGAGCAAUCCUGGUGGCGAGUGGCGAACGGGUGAGUAAUAUAUCGGAACGUGCCCAGUCGUGGGGGAUAACGUAGCGAAAGCUACGCUAAUACCGCAUACGAUCUAUGGAUGAAAGCGGGGGACCGCAAGACCUCGCGCGAUUGGAGCGGCCGAUAUCAGAUUAGGUAGUUGGUGGGGUAAAGGCCCACCAAGCCGACGAUCUGUAGCUGGUCUGAGAGGACGACCAGCCACACUGGGACUGAGACACGGCCCAGACUCCUACGGGAGGCAGCAGUGGGGAAUUUUGGACAAUGGGCGCAAGCCUGAUCCAGCAAUGCCGCGUGCAGGAUGAAGGCCUUCGGGUUGUAAACUGCUUUUGUACGAGACGAAAAGACUCGCUCUAAUACAGUGGGUACAUGACGGUAUCGUAAGAAUAAGCACCGGUUAACUACGUGCCAGCCGCCGCUGUAA
rnacentral:rRNA from 1 species